rnacentral:rRNA from 1 species
UACAGGGGGUGCAAACGUUGCUCGGAAUCAUUUGGGCGUAAAGCGCACGUAGGCGGUUCGUUAUGUCGGAUGUGAAAGCCCUUGGCUUAACCGAGGAAGUGCAUCCGAAAACUGGCGAGCUAGAGUACGAAAGAGGAUCGCGGAAUUCCCGGUGUAGAGGUGAAAUUCGUAGAUAUCGGGAGGAACACCGGUGGCGAAGGCGACUCGCUGGACAAGUAUUGACGCUGAGGUGCGAAAGCGUGGGGAGCAAACAGG